rnacentral:misc_RNA from 1 species
UUCAUUUACGUUCACUACUCGUACUAAUUAUUUAAUUCAUUUGCAGUGUGGGAAUUUCAAAGAAUCCGGCGUACCUGAGCUCCUCUCUGCCAUGGCAGCCGGCUGGAACGCUAAGCUAAUCGUCGAAUCCUGGUCAUACGGUGGUUCAAUGGCCACGAGCAUCGGAUUAGCUGUCGCUGCACAUCACACUUGCGGAAGACACGUGUGCAUAGUCAUGGAUGAACGGUCACGAACUGAGUAUAUAAAAUCCAUUCAAGGAGCGGGCAUGACGAAGACGGAGGUUAUCGUAGGGGAAGCGAAAGAGGUAAUGGCGGGUCUUGCAGGGGUGGAUUUUUUGGUGGUGG